rnacentral:rRNA from 1 species
CCCUUAGAUGUUCUGGGCCGCACGCGCGCUACACUGAUGCAUUCAACGAGUUUCUUCCUGGUCCGAGAGGAAUGGGUAACCUUUUGAAAGUGCAUCGUGAUAGGGAUAGACUAUUGCAAUUAUUGGUCUUCAACGAGGAGUUCCUAGUAGACGUAGUUCAUCAGACUGCAUCGAUUACGUCCCUGCCCUUUGUACACACCGCCCGUCGCUCCUACCGAUUGGGUGUGCUGGUGAAAUGUUCGGAUCGGCCGUUUGUCGCGGUUUCCGCGUCAUGUGGCUGAGAAGUUCAUUAAACCCUCCCACCUAGAGGAAGGAGAAGUCGUAACA